GCUAUCAACCUGCAUGUUGCAUAAUUACACGGUGAUACAUACAAUUUCCAGAGGCAUACAGGAACAGGAGCAUAAAGUCAGGGUACGGUGGGACCAUAGAAAUAGAUAGAUAACCUAGAAUGCUGAUUCGCCCAUCUCCCUGUACUUAACAAAUGACGCCAGAGCAAGCGAUGACAGCGCCCUCACAGUGCGGGAGGCUAUUGUAAAUCACAGCAUGGCGGUCUAUGGCAAAUUUCUCGUUUCUGGUAUUAAAAUUAGUUUUAUAAACACAAAACGAUGUACAUAAGCGAAAAGAAACAAAUUUUGUGUAUAUGAAUAGUCGGUAUGAAGUAAUUCGGAGGUAUUAUAUGAACAACUACGACUGCGAGGAAGAAAUGUCGAUAGCAAAGUGGAGCUGAAACGUUUGCUGUAUGACUAGGCUCUAGCCCGCCGAGGCUGUGCGGUACUGUGCGACUGAUCUGAUCUACAGUCUGUCUAUACGGUCUUCUGACCCUAGCAAGACCGUUUCUUGGAGCUAUAUAAUUUUAUGAUAAUCAUCGCUUGGCUAAGUUCUGAGAACCUUGUACUGACCGAAAAGAUUCCGCAUCAACUUCAACAUGCGGCACACAUCAAAGAUGAGAGAGACGCUGGUUCUGUCACAUGGAUGAGGGAAAGUGCUUCUCAACCUGUCUGGAUCUGUGGAUGCUCUUAACAUUUUUGCAGUUGUCUGGUUCACCUGCGAUCCAUCGGAUGUCAAUGCAAUCGCCAUCACGUCAAUACCAUGGAGCUUUUCCAUACAUUGCUUUAUCAGGACAGCUUGGGUGACACCGUUUAAACUGCCGUGGCUAAGGAAAUAACCAAGAGGAACUUUCCAAUGUCUAUUUACACCGACAGCCAUUGUAACCAAUACCGUCGGGAAAGACGUGUUGCUACGUGGAGCGUGUGUCGCCAUAGUGAGACAACGAGAGGUGUCCGGCGUGUGUCGUCAGGAGAGACGUGUUGCUACGUGGAGCGUGUCGCCGUAGCGAGAAGACGAGAGGUGUCGGGCGUGUGUCGGCGGGAGACAUUUUUGUCAUAUUUUAUAUGAUAGAUAAAAUAAACUCAGAAAAGCCAGAGCUCUAUAUUUUCUUCACACUCCUCAGAUAGUAUAUUUGUUUUUUUAGGCUUGUGAGCAGUUCUUUGACUAGUGAUCUGAGAUUGCUUUCACUGUACUUUGCAGCAUUGCAGUUUAAGCUUCUUCUAUAAUGAACUGAUCUUUGUGUUU